rnacentral:sRNA from 1 species
GCCAGGUACGGUGGUGCAUACCUGUAAUCUCAGCAACUUGGGAGGCUGAGGCAGGAGGAUCACAAGUCCAAGGCCAGCCUCGGCAACUUAGCCAGACCCUGUCUCCA